rnacentral:rRNA from 1 species
UACGUAGGCAGCAAGCGUUGUUCGGAAUUAUUGGGCGUAAAGGGCGCGUAGGCGGCCCGGUAAGUCAAAGGUGAAAUCCCUCGGCUCAACUGAGGAACUGCCUUUGAAACUGUCGGGCUUGAGGCCGGGAGGGGGUAGCGGAAUUCCCAGUGUAGCGGUGAAAUGCGUAGAUACUGGGAGGAACACCAGUGGCGAAGGCGGCUACCUGGACCGGUUCUGACGCUGAUGCGCGAAAGCGUGGGUAGCAAACAGG